AGAGUUUGAUCAUGGCUCAGGACGAACGCUGGCGGCGUGCUUAACACAUGCAAGUCGAGCGGUAAGGCCCUUCGGGGUACACGAGCGGCGAACGGGUGAGUAACACGUGGGUAACCUGCCCUGUACUCUGGGAUAAGCCUUGGAAACGAGGUCUAAUACCGGAUACGACCUUCUGCCGCAUGGUGGAGGGUGGAAAGUUCCGGCGGUAUGGGAUGGACCCGCGGCCUAUCAGCUUGUUGGUGGGGUAAUGGCCUACCAAGGCGACGACGGGUAGCCGGCCUGAGAGGGUGAUCGGCCACACUGGGACUGAGACACGGCCCAGACUCCUACGGGAGGCAGCAGUGGGGAAUAUUGCACAAUGGGCGAAAGCCUGAUGCAGCGACGCCGCGUGAGGGAUGACGGCCUUCGGGUUGUAAACCUCUUUCAGCAGGGACGAAGCCUUCGGGUGACGGUACCUGCAGAAGAAGCACCGGCCAACUACGUGCCAGCAGCGGCGGUAAUUC
rnacentral:rRNA from 1 species